CCAGUGGUGGUUCAGUGGUAGAAUUCUCUCCUUCCACGCAGGAGACCCAGGUUUGAUUCCCGGCCAAUGCA
rnacentral:tRNA from 1 species